GACGAACGCUGGCGGCGUGCUUAACACAUGCAAGUCGAACGGUGAAGCGCCUUCCUUUUUGGUGGGUGUGGAUGAGUGGCGAACGGGUGAGUAACACGUGAGUAACCUGCCCCCUUCUUCUGGAUAACCGCAUGAAAGUGUGGCUAAUACGGGAUAUUCUGGGUCUGUCGCAUGAUGGGUCUGGGAAAGAUAUUGUUUCGGUGGGGGAUGGGCUCGCGGCCUAUCAGCUUGUUGGUGGGGUGAUGGCCUACCAAGGCGGUGACGGGUAGCCGGCCUGAGAGGGUGGACGGUCACACUGGGACUGAGACACGGCCCAGACUCCUACGGGAGGCAGCAGUGGGGAAUAUUGCACAAUGGGCGCAAGCCUGAUGCAGCGACGCCGCGGGAGGGAUGGAGGCCUGCGGGUUGUGAACCUCUUUCGCCAGUGAAGCAGGCCUGCCUCGUUUGUGGGUGGGUUGACGGUAGCUGGAUAAGAAGCGCCGGCUAACUACGUG
rnacentral:rRNA from 1 species